rnacentral:rRNA from 1 species
AGAGUUUGAUCCUGGCUCAGAUCGAACGCUGGCGGAAUGCUUUACACAUGCAAGUCGAGCGGCAGCGCGGGGGCAACCCUGGCGGCGAGCGGCGAACGGGUGAGUAACACAUCGGAACGUACCCCGUCGUGGGGGAUAACGAGUCGAAAGAUUCGCUAAUACCGCAUACGACCUGAGGGUGAAAGCGGGGGACCUGCAAGGGCCUCGCGCGAUGGGAGCGGCCGAUGUCCGAUUAGCUAGUUGGUGGGGUAAGAGCCUACCAAGGCGACGAUCGGUAGCUGGUCUGAGAGGAUGAUCAGCCACACUGGGACUGAGACACGGCCCAGACUCCUACGGGAGGCAGCAGUGGGGAAUUUUGGACAAUGGGCGCAAGCCUGAUCCAGCCAUUCCGCGUGAGUGAAGAAGGCCUUCGGGUUGUAAAGCUCUUUCGGCCGGGAAGAAAUCGGGCAGGUGAAUAAUCUGCCUGGAUGACGGUACCGGAAGAAGAAGCACCGGCUAACUACGUGCCAGCAGCCGCGGUAAUACGUAGGGUGCGAGCGUUAAUCGGAAUUACUGGGCGUAAAGCGUGCGCAGGCGGCUUUGUAAGACAGGUGUGAAAUCCCCGGGCUUAACCUGGGAAUGGCGCUUGUGACUGCAAGGCUUGAGUUCGGCAGAGGGGGGUGGAAUUCCACGUGUAGCAGUGAAAUGCGUAGAGAUGCGGAGGAACACCGAUGGCGAAGGCAGCCCCCUGGGUCGCGACUGACGCUCAUGCACGAAAGCGUGGGGAGCAAACAGGAUUAGAUACCCUGUAGUCCACGCCCUAAACGAUGUCGACUAGGUGUUGGGGAAGGAGGCUUCUUUAGUACCGUAGCUAACGCGUGAAGUCGACCGCCUGGGGAGUACGGUCGCAAGAUUAAAACUCAAAGGAAUUGACGGGGACCCGCACAAGCGGUGGAUGAUGUGGAUUAAUUCGAUGCAACGCGAAAAACCUUACCUACCCUUGACAUGCCAGGAACCUUGCUGAGAGGUGAGGGUGCCCGAAAGGGAGCCUGGACACAGGUCCUGCAUGGCUGUCGUCAGCUCGUGUCGUGAGAUGUUGGGUUAAGUCCCGCAACGAGCGCAACCCUUGUCGCUAAUUGCCAUCAUUCAGUUGGGCACUUUAGCGAGACUGCCGGUGACAAACCGGAGGAAGGUGGGGAUGACGUCAAGUCCUCAUGGCCCUUAUGGGUAGGGCUUCACACGUCAUACAAUGGUCGGUACAGAGGGCUGCUAACCCGCGAGGGGGCGCUAAUCUCGCAAAGCCGAUCGUAGUCCGGAUUGCAGUCUGCAACUCGACUGCAUGAAGUCGGAAUCGCCAGUAAUCGUGGAUCAGCAUGUCACGGUGAAUACG